GACAGAGGGUGCAAACGUUGUUCGGAAUUACUGGGCGUAAAGCGAGUGUAGGCGGUGUGGUAAGUCGGAUGUGAAAGCCCCGGGCUCAACCCGGGAAGUGCACUCGAUACUGCCACGCUAGAGUAUCGGAGAGGUUGGUGGAAUUCUCGGUGUAGAGGUGAAAUGCGCAGAUAUCGGGAGGAACACCAAUGGCGAAGGCAGCUCGCUGGGACGUGACUGACGCUGAGACGCGAAAGCGUGGGGAGCAAACAGG
rnacentral:rRNA from 1 species